rnacentral:sRNA from 1 species
ACUGAUAGUUUGUCGGUUGCCUGUGCCUCGACGGCCUGAUGCAUGAGGUACUGUAGCCCGUUGAUCCGGAAAAGGCUGUUCAUCAGCCAGCUCCAGGAGGGUAUAGCUUCGGUUAACAGUUCAAAGAGCUCUCGCCUCUCAUUGGGUUUGUGAUCUCCCCCUUGUAGGGAUGUGUAGCUGUCCGUUGAUUGAUUGGCAGCUUGCUGCUGAAUCGCUCGAACAUUAUGUUUGAGAAUCCAAAUACAACACUAUACAGUGGAUCAUUUGGCUCGGGGGUCGAUGAAGAACGGAGCUAACUCUGUGAUGCCGUGUGAACUGCAGGACACAUGAACAUCGACACUUUGAACGCAUAUUGCGGAAAUAAGCUUGUCUUGUUUCCAUAUCUGACUCAGGGUCGGUUAAACAUCCAUCAGACAGCUUGCUGUYUGCAUUGGGCCGUCGCUAUGCCUCCGCACAGCGCUGCUCCAAGGUAUGCCGUAUGGAGUUCACAGACUCAACUCUUGGGAACUUGUGUCCUGGGUUGCCGAUGUGGCCAUGUGUGCAUGGUGCUGAGACUCAACUGACUGUCUCGUCAGGCACCGACCAAUUAUAUUUUCGACCUGAGAUUAGAUAAGAUUACCCGCCGAAUUUAAGCAUAUUAAUAAGCGGAGGAAAAGAAAACAACUGUGAUUCCCUUAGUAAUGGCGAAUGAAACGGGAACAGGCCAUCGCGGAACUGCAGGUCAUCUUGGCCUCGUGGAAUGUCGCGUUCGGGAGAGUCUUCUCGAGGACCGGACGGCCAGUCAAAGUCCAACUUGACAGUGGCCACUGCCCAUAGAGGGUGAUAGGCCCGUAAGGC